UUCCGCGUGAGUACUGGCUGUUUGUGUCUCAUUAUCCAUUGCCAAAUAGCUGUCAUUAACCACGCCAGAGUGUAGUUUGGAGUGCUAAAUUACCGUGUGAAUACCAUUUGAAAAAGGAUUGGUCACUCGGAGGAGGCACUUCCACAGUU
rnacentral:snoRNA from 1 species